UGGGUAACCUGCCUCAAAGAGGGGAAUAGCCUCCCCGAAAGGGAGAUUAAUACCGCAUAAUAUGUUUAAGUCGCAUGACUUUAACAUCAAAGGAUUUUUCUUUUAAGAAAUUUCCACUUUGAGAUGGACCCGCGGUGCAUUAGCUAGUUGGUGAGGUAACGGCUCACUAAGGCAACGAUGCGUAGCCGACCUGAGAGGGUGAUCGGCCACAUUGGAACUGAGACACGGUCCAGACUCCGUAGGGAGG
rnacentral:rRNA from 1 species